CCUACGGGUGGCUGCAGUAAGGAAUAUUGGUCAAUGCCCGACAGGGUGAACCAGCCAUUCCGCGUGGAGGAUGAAGGCCCUAUGGGUUGUAAACUUCUUUUAGAUGGGAAUAAAAUGCCCUUUGCGAAGGGUACUGAAGGUACCAUCAGAAUAAGCACCGGCUAACUCCGUGCCAGCAGCCGCGGUAAUACGGAGGGUGCGAGCGUUAUCCGGAAUUACUGGGUUUAAAGGGUGCGUAGGCGGAUAAUUAAGUCUAAGGUGAAAGUUUGUUGCUU
rnacentral:rRNA from 1 species